AGGGAUUUAAAUGGGUUAAUUUGGGUAAAAAAUGGGUCAUUUUACAUUGUGUUUAUGUAACGGACCAUAAGUGCGAUGAGAGAAGGGAAGAGCGCCUUGAACACAGGGAAGCAGCUGCUGUGUGUGUAGCAAGUAUUUCUAUUGAGUUCCCUCUACCUAUACAACAGUCUGGCUCAUCUUUACCUACUCUCCCUUAUUGCCAGACUGUUGUAUAGGUAGAGGGAAGUUAAGAGGUCUAGCCUAGCCUAGCGUAGCCACUCUCCCUUAUUGCACCCAACUUUUCAGAGAGCACUUCCCGUCCUAACUGGCACUUCGACUAGUGCGUAACUUGCAAUUACAGCAGUUACAUUUCUGCACUUCUUUUUUCUUUUUAUUUCAUUUUGUUAUAUUUCUUAUGUAAAGUAGUAUUUAUUUAUUGUUACACCAGGUUCUAUUGCUCGUAGCUUGACUAUUCUCUCCCUUGUACGUCGCUUUGGACAAAAGCGUCUGCUAAAUGACUAAAUGUAAAUGUAAAUGUAUUGCCAGACUGUUGUAUAGGGCGAGGGAAGUGAAGAGGGCUAGCCUAGCCUAGCCUAGCAUAGCCACUCUCCCUUAUUGCCAGACUGUUGUAUAGGGCGAGGGAAGUGAAGAGGCCUAGCCUAGCCUAGCGUAGCCACUCUCCCUUAUUGCCAGCCUGUUGUAUAGGGCGAGGGAAGUGAAGAGGCCUAGCCUAGCCUAGCGUAGCCACUCUCCCUUAUUGCCAGCCUGUUGUGUAUGGCGAGGGAAGUGAAGAAGGCUAGCCAAACCUAGCGUAGCCACUCUCCCUUAUUGCCAGACUGUUGUAUAGGGAGAGGGAAGUGAAGAGGGCUAGCCUAGCCUAGCCUAGCGUAGCCACUCUCCCUUAUUGCCAGACUGUUGUAUAGGGCGAGGGAAGUGAAGAGGGCUAGCCUAGCCUAGCGUAGCCAUUCUCCCUUAUUGCCAGACUGUUGUAUAUGGGGCGAGGGAAGUGAAGAGGCCUAGCCUAGCCUAGCGUAGCCACUCUCCCUUAUUGCCAGCCUGUUGUAUAGGGCGAGGGAAGUGAAGAGGCCUAGCCUAGCCUAGCGUAGCCACUCUCCCUUAUUGCCAGCCUGUUGUAUAUGGCGAGGGAAGUGAAGAGGGCUAGCCAAACCUAGCGUAGCCACUCUCCCUUAUUGCCAGACUGUUGUAUAGGGAGAGGGAAGUGAAGAGGGCUAGC
ensembl:lncRNA